CAAGAUAUUUGGAAAUGGCAAAGUUUCUGGUGAAAUUAUAUGGAAUGUCUGUCACAACUCACAUGCAACUCUUUUUGCGUACAUCAAUCAACCGACUUGGAUCAUAUGAGUCCUAAGAGGAAAAACACAGAGCUGAUGACUAUAGGUGACUAGCGUGCAUUCAUGGUAGUGACUGACAACAACCUACCAAUGGAUUCCGUACUAUCUAUGUUACUAUGUACAUGUUCAUUAUUAGUUGUCAAUUUCCAAAUCUUUCAAAAGGCUUGAAACUACAGCCCAUUUUCCUUGUGUUGUUGAUCUAACACGGUUCCUCUUGUAUCGGUCACCUGCUUUAGUAUGGUAGAAUAUUCUUAGCUCUGUAAGACGACUAUAUAUGCCAUUUCUGUACACUUAUGUGCUUCUUUGCUUAUGUAAUUGCAGGGCUUGAUAAUAAGAAAAUUAUAAUCGAUAAGCAACCUCUAUCUUGGGUUCACUUUCAGUGUUUUUCCUUUGUUUAUUCCUAUACUAAUCUGUUGCUAAGCCUGCUUUACAUGUGCCUAUAUAUCUGCACCCAUCUACAUUUUGUCUAAAAGAGCAGAACAAAGACAUAUGGCUAAUUAUUGGCAUGCCGUGUUUCGAAAUCCAUAAUUCUCAAAAAUAUAUUAUUUUGGAAUCCACUUCCCAGUGUCAAAAUGGCGAAGAGUUUUAUCCCUUCCUUCGGAAAAUAAACUUUCGAGUUUCCCUACUGACUGGCAAUAUAUGCAUUAUGCUUUGCAAAAUGGAUUUUUAGAAUGCUUCGCAAAAUGACAGAAAUUGGAGAAGAAUUUUUAUCCUUCCUCUGGGAAAUAAACCUAUGUGUUUCCCUACUUGUUGGAGGGAAAUAUUAACGAUCUCCCCUAGCCCAUGGAAUCAACAAAACGUAAAGGUCCAGGCCCACCUAAGGUGGCAAGAUUGCCGUCGGCCUAAUAUGGGAGGGAGAGGCCACGUUCCGCCUCGCCCGACCCGGAGCCCCGGGGUCGGACGUUCCCGACCCCUUGAAGACUAAACUCCGCCUCGCCCGACCCAGAGGACCGAGGUCGGGAGCGCCCGACCCCCGCCGCAAAACUCCGCCUCGCCCGACCCUGGGCGCGGGGGUCGGACUCGCUCGGGUCCACAAGAUAAAUAUCCGCCUCGGGCGCGGACUGGAGGAUCAGGGUGCCGAUCUCGUGGGUCCCCCUAUCGACCUCGCCAUAAAUGUGUCGCGGCCCUGUCAUGCAGAAAGGGAGUGGCGCCCCCAACGUAACCUAUCACGAAUACCCAUGCGCGGCCGUGCGGUGCGAGCUGCAGUGGCCACGGCUCCCUCUGAUUUGCCGCAGGGUACUCAUGGCCCGCGCCGAACGGCACAGGAGGGCGCUCCGCUCGUUCUCGCGCCCCGCGCUCCCGUUGACAGGGAUGCGACAUCUGCAUCUCACGGGUAAUCAGCAGGGUAACAGAAUCGGCCAUUCUCCCCGGCGAGCACGGAUGCCAAGGCUGAGGAUCAUCAUCGUGCUCGGCAGCAACGGCGACCGGAGAGAUCAUCGACGGGAUCUGGAAGAAACCGCCCUCCCUCGACGGACGCGCUGACAGGGACCGGAGGCCGGAGCGAGAACGGCGGCCCUAGGACCCUCUCCUUAUGUCAUAUUUUACUUAGCUUAUCCCUUUCUACUUCUCCUCAUGCCUGCCUCAUCUGUAACCCUGAGUUCCAUCCUUGCGCUAUAAAAGGAGGACCGGGGGUCCUGAGACGGGGGACACUCUCUCUCUCUGAAGCAAGCAGAACACACUCGCACCCACUUAGAGUACCAUUGCACUCUCAAGAGACCUGGGAUCAGCUCCCUCUCUCGCCCUCCUGUAACCCCUACUACAGAACCCCGCGUGGGUAACAUGAGCAGCCUCAAUACUGGACGUAGGGCGUUCCUUUGCCCGAACCAGUCUAACCCCGUGUCUCCCACGCCACCAUCCGAAGCCUUACGCGCAUAAAAGAAAUUUACUAGUCUAAGUCUUGAUCCGCAAAUCCUGACAAUGACACUACUGACUUUGCAAAAUGAAUUUCUUGAGCACUUCACAAAAUGGAUUCACUUCUGAUGUCUUGUUGUGAUGCAGAAAUUGUGGCAAGCACAUCAUGCCUUCUAUUUCUGAGUCUACUUAUUCUCGCGUUCUUCUUGACCUGCAAAUAUGGUUCGCUACCCUUUAAAUCAAAGAACAAACCAAGGAUUGAAUCCUUUUACACAAAAGAAUGGGAACCUACAGCCUUAAAGAUACAGUUAUGCAGAUGUGAAAAGAAUGAUAAAGUUUUUUGCUGUUAAGCUAGGCCAAGGUGGAUUUGGUGCUGUAUACAAAGGUAACCUCUCUAAUGGCGGCCAGGUAGCAGUAAAGAUGCUAAAGGACGUCAAGGGUGAUGGGGAGGAAUUUAUGAAUGAGGUGGCUAGCAUUAGCAGAGCUUCCCAUGUCAAUGUUGUUACCCUUCUAAGAUUUUGUUUGGAAGGAUCCAAAAGGGCUCUCAUUUACGAGUACAUGCCUAAUGGUUCACUGGAAAGGUAUGUCUUCAUCAGCAAUUUAAACAGUGAAAAUACAUUAAGCAGGGAGAAAUUAUUUGACAUAGCAAUUGGCAUUGCUAGAGGACUUGAAUAUCUCCACCGAGGAUGCAUCGUGUAUUUUGAUAUCAAACCCCAAAUAUUCUAUUAGACCACGAUUUUCACCCUAAGAUUUCUGAUUUUGGAUUGGCCAAGCUAUGCCUGAAUAAAGGAGAGCGUUAUCUCCAUUGGUGGUGAAAGAGGAACAAUUGGAUGCAUUGCCCCUGAGGUGUACUCAAGGCAAUUUGGAAUAGUAAGUAGAAGGUCUGAUGUCUACAGUUAUGGUACGAUGGUGCUUGAGAUGGUUGGGGCAAGAGACAAGAAUAUCAAUGCAGAUAGUGAAUCUAGUAGCCAGUGAUGACUAUUGUAUGAGUGCUUCUGAGAUAAAUGGCGGGACCAGAGAGCUUGUGAGAAAGAUGACAGUGGUAGGUUUGCGGUGUAUACAAGUGAUCCCAACUGAUCGUCCAACAAUGACUAGAGUCGUGGAGAUGCUGGAAGGCAGCACAAGUAAUCUUGAACUGCCACCCAAAGUGCUCUUGGGUUGAUAUGCAUCAAUAUGUUCCCAACAAAAAUGUUACUCACUGAAACUAAUUUGCUCAAGUGCAAUUAUUUGUUGUACUUUUUUUUAAAAAAAAGCAAGAAUCAAAUGUUACUUUUGCUAUGUAAACCGAGAUGGAACUAUGAAUUGCUGACCAAGGGUGGUCAUAUAGCAUCGCAUGAUGAUAUUAUUUGAUCAGACUAGCUACAAGUAUGGUUUCACUUCUUUGCACUAGUACUGAUUUUAUUAGGCAAAUGCGUUACAGAUUCAGUAGUGGGUGAGUUUACAUCCCCACGAAAUACAUUAGCACAAAAUAUGUUUUCAUCCCGAUUCAAAUCAGAACUGCAAUGCUCAAUUGCUGAAAAUACUUGAACUGGUUAUUGGAGAUUAGGUUUUGAGAGCUAGAUGUUACCAAAAGUAAGAGUGGCCAAAAUAGGACCAACGCGGCCACUGCUCAGGUUUCAGGUGUUUGCCAUGACGGUUUCAGAUGUUUGCCAUGGACCGCAGCGGGUGCCGCCUGCGUCGAUGUUUACCUCCACGACCUCCGCCUGAGUGCCCGUCUCGAUGCCAGGGUAGCUCCCAACAGAUGGCUAUGCUCGCUGUCCAAAUCCACCGGAUCGCACAGGCCAGAGCGUGCACGAGAGGCGGCGGUGACCGGAAAUGUCCUUGUCAAGAUUUGCGGAUCGAGACUUAGACUAGUAAAUUUCUUUUAUGCGCGUAAGGCUUCGGAUGGUGGCGUGGGAGACACGAGGUUAGACUGGUUCGGGCAAAAGGAGGCCCUACGUCCAGUAUCGAGGCUGCUCGUGUUACCCACGCGGGGUUCUGUAGUAGGGGUUACAAACAGGCGAGAGAGGGAGCCGGUCCCAGGUCUCUUGGGUGUGCGCUGAUGCUCGUGAGGUGAGUGUGUGGGUUCUGUUGGCUUGAGAGUCCUCCUGGUCUCGGGGCCCCUGGUUCUCCUUUUAUAGCGCAAGGAGGGCUCAGGGUUACAGGUGAGCCGGGUGUGUGGAGAAGUAAAAGAGAUAAGCUAAGUAAAGUAAAAUACAAGGAGAAGAACCAAGUCCCCGGAUUGCCGCCUCCUGCUCCGGCCUUCGGCUUCUGUCAGUGCGACCACCGGAGGAGGGCGGCUGUUGUCAGGUCUUGUCGCCAAUCCUCCGUGCGACCGUUGCCGCCGAGCAUGAUGAUGAUGCUCGGCCGCAAUAAUCGGGCACGUUGGGGGAGACGGCUGACCCCUAUAGUCCUGCUUACCUCCCGUGGAACACGGACGUCGCGUCCCUAUCGCCGGAUAGGCCGAGCGCGAGAACGGGCGGCGCUCCCUCCUGUGCCGGGCGACGCAUGCAAUGAGUGCCCUAUGGCGAAUCAGGGGGAGCCGCGGCCACUGUAGCCUGCGCGGUCGUGGCUACAGUGUUCCGUCCGGGUACUUGUGGCAGGUCACGUCGAGGGGCGCGGGCGCCUUUCUGCGCGCUAGAACCGCGGCGCAUUUAUGGCAAGAUCGGUGGGGGGCCCACGGGAUCCGCGCCCUCUUCUGCCGGUCUGCGCCCGAGGCGGACCCUAUUCCUGUGGGCCCGGGUGAGUCCGACCCCCGCGCCCAGGGUCGGGCGAGGCGGAGUUUCUGUGGUGGGGGUCGGGCACUCCUGACCCCGGUCCCCUGGGUCAGGCGAGGCGGAGUUUAAUCUUCUAGGGGUCGGGAGCGUCCGACCUCGGGACUCCCGGUCGGGCGAGGCAGAGUUUAGUCUUCAAGGGGUCGAGAGCGUCCGACCCCGGGACUCUGGGUCGGGCGAGGCGGAACGUGGCCUCUCCCUUUCAUAUUGGGCUGACGGCAAUUUUGCCUCCGCAGGUGGGCCUGGGCCUUCAUGACUGUUGCCUUAAGCGGCAUUAGGAGGUCGUUAAUAUUUCCCCCAAACAGUAGCCCCCGAGCCUGUGGUGGAGCAAAGAUGCUCCUCCAGAGGCUUUUUUCGUCGCUCGUCGGGGAUCUCUACUCGCCCUGCAAGCUGCGGUUGAUCAGGGAUAGGGAGUGUUGUUGGUCCGGCUUGGCCAGGGAGUUUGAUCAGGAGAGGUGUCCUAUGGAUGACUUGGCGCGGGAGGACUCCUCAUUGCUCCGUAGGGCGCUCCCGCCUCGAGUCCUCAAAUCGCGACCACACGCGUGGUCAUGGGUUGCGACGCUAGCCCCCGAGCCCCCGCGCGUUGCAGGAGACCGAUCGGGAGGCUAGAUCGGCUUUUGAUCGUUACCCCUCAAGCAUCCGUUCGCUGGGACGGAGGGGAUGAGCCGUGCCACACUAUCCUCGUUGGACGAACCGUGGUGCUCGUUGAGCUGCGAACGGGUCGGUUCGAGUGGAGUCCCGGUCCCCGUUCGGGAGGGUCCGGCUCGGGCCAAGCUGGUGGCGUACUCCAGAUUCCAGCUGGCCAGUUCAUAUAGUUCCUGAGUCCGUUCGAUCGGAUUCGGGGGCUCGUUGCCUUUCUUCGGGGAAAAACCAUGAACUUAGACGCCAGCCCGGGCUCGAACGUGAGGUCGGGACACCCCUGGCUUUCGCUCGCCUGGGUGGUGGCCGCUAGCGGACCCGUCACUUCUCACCCCUUGCUCGUGGGCAUCCAGAGGCGGCUGUCGAACCCGCAGCGGGCCAGCAUUCGAACCUCUGGAUCGUAAUGGGCCGUAGGGGCGUUUCCAGCCCCGUAUCCCUCAUUACCUUUCGGUGGGUCUUUCCGGGUGGUUCUUGCAGACGAAAUCGCCCAGCUGAGGGAGCUACUCGACGCGGAGCGUGGUGAGCACGGCGCCCUGCUGGAUGUGGUCCGCGUCGUCAGCGACGGACUCGGCGUGGUUCAGGGGGAGGGGUCGAGCUCGCUGAUGGCUCGUGUCCUCGGGAUGUACCGUCAGGCCCGCGAGAUCGCCGUGGAUGCGCUCCACACCGGCGUGCGGCAAGCCUUCGGGGUCUUCGGCUCCCCAUUACUUUGGCAUCAACUUCGCCGGGAUGAGCAGAGGGUAUGCCGCCGGCUACUCCGAGGGUCGAGAUGGAUGAGAUCGAUGCGUUCGGUGUUCAACCCAGCGGAGGCCCUUGGCGAAGCUCUUGGGAGGAUGAGGCCGUCCCUCCCGAAGAUCCCCCGAUGAGCUAACUGUAUUGGGCUGGCGCCCAAGUUGUAAAUACGUUAGUUCCAAACUCGUUUUGUAACGGCCAUGGGGGCCUUUUCCAGAACUUGUCGUAAAAAAGUUUCCGAUCCUCUUUCUCGUUUCCGGACUUGGAAAGUUUAGAGCACGUUGUCGGGUAUGUCAGUAAGCGUUGAUGGGCGAAAGGCACCGUAGCCGCGGGGGCGUAGGUCUUUCGUAGUCCGAUCAGUCUUGCCUGAACGCCGUUCGUGCGCUCUCUCCUUUUCACAUCCGAAAGUUCAGAGGGAGGAUCGACUCGGAAGGAAAAAAAUGUUUUUUAGAUGGUGCCAAGUGGCUUGAGCCGGAGCCCCUAAUAGCCCCCGAGGGAUAUGCGACCCUGGAGCGAAGCCAGGGUCGGAUAUCCCUGAGCUCGACGGAAAAAGCUUGAACAGAACCGGCUUGAAAUUCCUUUUUCCGUAAAAAGAAAUCUUUGAUUUUACAGAAAAGUUUAUGUACAGAACUUGGAAAUGAAAACUAGGGGUAGAAAUGCCUUAGCUGUUCUAUGUUCCAAGCAUUGCCGAAGAUCUGCCCGUUGGGGGUCGCUAGCUUGUAGGUGCCUGGCCGUAGUACUUGCGCGACGAUCAAAGGACCUUCCCACGGGGGAGUCAGCUUGUGCCGACCCCUGUUAUCCUGGAUGAGGCGGAGCACCAGGUCGCCAACGUUGAAGGCUCGGCCUUGCACCUUGCGGCUGUGGUAAUGUCGUAGGGCCUUCUGGUAUUUGGCCGAGUGUAGCAGGGCCACAUCGCCCGCCUCAUCGAGCUGAUCUUGUGCGUCUUCGAGCGAUGCCUGGUUCCCUUGUUCGUCGUACGCCUUGACCCUCGGCGAUCCGUAUUCCAGGUCGGUGGGCAGGAUGGCCUUGGACCCGUAGGCCAUGAAGAACGGGGUGAAGCUAGUCGCCCGACUGGGGGUUGUCCUCAGGCUCCAAAGGACUACGGGAAGCUCGGCGACCCACCGUCCGCCAAACUUUUUGAGGCGGUCGAAGAUCCGUGGCUUGAGACCUUGGAGUAUGAUGCCGUUGGCUCGCUCGACCUGCCCGUUCGUGCGAGGGUGUGCUACGGCCGACCAGUCUACCCGGAUGUGGUGGUCGUCGCAGAACUGGAGAAAUUUCUUCCCAGUGAACUGCGUGCCGUUGUCGGUGAUGAUGGAGUUGGGGAUUCCGAAGCGAUGGAUGAUGUCGGUGAAGAAUUGUACCGCCUGAUCGGAUUUGAUUUGCGCGACCGGUCUUGCUUCGAUCCACUUAGAGAACUUGUCGACGGCGACAAGUAGGUGGGUGAAGCCCCCAGGCGCUUUCUUGAAGGGCCCGACGAGAUCCAGCCCCCAGACCACGAAUGGCCACGUGAUGGGAAUGGUCUGGAGCGCUUGCGCGGGCAGAUGAGUUUGGCGCGCAAAGAACUGGCACCUUUCGCAGGUGCGGACUACUCGGGUAGCGUCGGCGACCGCCGUCGGCUAGUAAAAAACCUUGCCGGAAGGCGUUGCCGACGAGGGUCCUUGGCGCUGCGUGGUGGCUGCACGCUCCAGCAUGGAUGUCCUAGAUCAGUGCCUUUCCCUGUUCGAUCGGGAUGCAGCGCUAGAGGAUGCCGGUGUGGCUUCUCUUAUAGAGCUCUUGAUCGAUAAUGGCGAAGGAUUUGGCGCGACGCGCGAUCCUACGGGCCUCCAUUUUGUUUGCCGGGAGCGUGUCGCGGAUGAGGUAAUCGAGGUAUGGGGCUCUCCAGUCGGUUGGGGGGUCGGGCCCCACCGCGGGGUCUGCCGCGAUUUCCAUGACCAUGGGGCUGGAGGGGUCGGCCUCCGGGGCUGAGUCGGGCGAAGCGAUGCCGACCCUAUCGGGGCUGGCGCCCGGGCCUGGGACAGGUGGCGCGCUGCCGAUCUCUCCUAGGUCGGGACCCGAGCCCGGAGCUGGUGGCGCUUCGCCAACCCUCACAGGUUCUUGGUAACGGAUUGAAGGCUUGAAUUGGUCGCUGAUGAAGACGCCGUCGGGGACGGGCAUUCGGCCGGAUGCUGCCUUCGCCAGCUCGUCGGCGGCUUCGUUGAAGUGCCUUGUGACGUGGUUGAGCUCCAGCCCGUCGAACUUGUCUUCAAGCUUGCGAACCUCGUUGCGGUAGGCUGCCAUCUUGGGGUCCUGGCAGCCGCACUCCUUCAUGACUUGUUCGACGACUAGCUGGGAGUCGCCCUGGAUGUCUAGCCGACGGAUGCCCAGCUCGAUGGCGAUAUGAAGCCCGUUGAGGAGGGCCUCGUACUCGGCGACAUUGUUGGAUGUAGGAAAGUGGAGGCGGAUCAUGUACCUGAUGCGCACGCCUAGAGGAGAGAUGAAGAUGAGGCCCGCUCCUGCACGGGCCCUCAUCAACGAUCCAUCGAAGUAUAUUGUCCAGUACUCCUGCUUUUCCGGCGCUGAUGGCGUUUGGAUCUCCGUCCACUCUGCUACAAAAUCGGCGAGUACCUGGGACUUGAUGGCGGUGCGGGGGGCAUAGGUGAUGCCCUGGUCUAUGAGCUCGAGCGCCCACUUCGCGAUCCGUCCCAUGGCGUCCUGGUUCCGGAUCACUUCGCCUAAUGGGAAUGACGAAACAACCGUUACCGGGUGGGAGGUGAAGUAGUGGCGCAACUUCCUCUUCGUGAUGAGGACGGCGUAGAUGAGAUUCUGGAUCUGCGGGUAGCGUGCCUUGGACUCGGACAAGACUUCGCUGACGAAGUACACCGGGCGUUGCACCUUGAGAGCGUGUCCCUCCUCUUCUCGUUCCACCACUAAGGUCGCGCUAACCACCUGGGUGGUCGCCGCGAUGUAGAGCAGGAGGGGCUCGCCGUCGGUCGGCAGGACCAGGAUCGGGGCCUUCGUUAGGAGGUCCUUGAGUCGGUCAAGUGCCUCCUGGGCCUCGUCGGUCCAUUCGAAGGGGUCAGUCUUCUUUAGGAGUCGAUAGAGAGGAAGCCCCCGUUCGCCAAGGCGCGAGAUGAAGCGGCUCAGGGCCGCUAAGCAUCCCGUGACGCACUGGACUCCUUUUAUGUUUCGGAUUGGCCCCAUGUCGCUGAUGGCCGCUAUCUUCUCCGGAUUGGCUUCGAUGCCGCGCACGGAGACGAUGAAGCCUAGCAGCAUGCCCCUUGGAACUCCGAAAACACAUUUUUCGGGAUUGAGCUUAAUACGCUUAUCCCUCAGCCUUUCGAAGGCUAGUUCGAGGUCAGGGAUGAGCUGGUCGCCCCUCUUGGAUUUGACUACGAUAUCGUCAACGUAAGCCUCAACGGUCCGCCCGAUGAGGUCCCCGAAACAUUUCAGCAUGCAUCGUUGGAACGUAGCCCCCGCGUUUUUGAGGCCGAAUGGCAUCUUGACGUAGCAGUAGGGGCCGAAGGGGGUGAUGAAAGAGGUAGCGAGCUGGUCGGAUUCUUUCAUUGCGAUCUGAUGGUAGCCGGAAUACGCGUCAAGGAAGCUAAGGGUUUCGCACCCGACAGUCGAGUCGACUAUCUGAUCUAUGCGUGGCAAAAGAAACGGAUCCUUUGGGCACGCCUUGUUGAGACCGGUAUAAUCAACACACAUCCUCCAUUUCCCAUUCUUUUUUCGUACAAGAACAGGGCUUGCUAGCCACUCGGGGUGGUACACUUUCUUGAUGAAUCCGGCCGUCAAAAGCUUCUGGAGCUCCUCGCCGAUGGCCUUGCGCCUCUCCUCGCCGAAGCGGCGUAGUCCUUGCUUCACUGGCUUGGAGCCGGCCUUGAUGUUCAAGGAGUGCUCGGCGACUUCUCUCGGAAUGCCGGGCAUGUCCGAGGGCUUCCACGCGAAGACGUCGCUGUUCGCGCGGAAGAAGAUGACGAGCGCGCUUUCCUAUUUGGGAGAUAGGGUAGCGCCGAUCCGCACGGUCUUGCCGUCGGAGCUGCUGGGGUCGAGGAGGACCUCCUUGACGCCUUCGGUGGCCUCGAAGGAGGUGGCCGACUGCUUGGAGUCGGGCUGGUCCUCGGCGUCCUCCGUGAGCUGGACCGCCAAAUCCCCUGUGAAGGUGAUGGCUGCGGCGUACUCGCAGCAUUCCACGUCGCACUCGUACGCCUUUUGGAAAGACGUGCCGACGGUGAUGACCCCGUUGGGCCCCGGCAACUUGAGCUUGAGGUAGGUGUAGUUGGGGAUGGCCAUGAACUUCGCGUAGCAUGGUCGCCCCAAGAUGGCGUGAUAGGUUCCGCGGAACCCCACCACCUCAAAGGUGAGGACCUCCUUCCUGUAGUUGGAACGGGUUCCGAAAGUGACGGACAAGUCGAUUUGCUUGAGAGGCAUCGCCUGUUUUCCCGGCACGACGCCGUGAAACGGUGCCUUGCUAGGGCGGAGCUGGGAGCGGUCAAUCCCCAUAGCGUCGAGGGUCUCAGUGUAGAGGAUGUUGAGGCCGCUGCCUCCAUCCAUGAGCACCUUGGUGAGGCGCGUCGUGCCGACGAUGGGGUCGACGACGAGAGGGUAGCGUCCUGGAUGCCGGACGCGUCUCGGGUGAUCGGACCGAUCGAAGGUGAUGGCUGAUCCCGACCAGUCGAGGAAAGCCGGCGUCGCCGGCUCGGCCGCGUAGACCUCUCGGCGCUCCAGCUUCUGGCGGCGCUUGGAGUCGUACGCCGCUGAGUCGUCGAAGAUCAUGAAGCAGCCGUCCACCUUGGGGCAGCCGUCUUCCUUCUCUUCGUCGCCCUUCUUCUCUUCAUCGGGCUUCCGCUUCCGGUCACCCUUCACUGGGUUGCCUACGAAGUACCUCUUCAUGAGGUUGCAGUCCUUGUAGGCGUGUUUCGCGGGGAACUCGUGGUUCGGGCACGGUCCCUCGAGCAACUUGUCGAAGAAGCCAGGAGUGCCUUCCGGGGGCGGCUGUCCUCGCUUGCGCUCGACAGCAGCUACGAGGGGGGUCUCGCGCCGCUGCUUGCCUUUCUUCUUCUGCUGGCGGUUGGAGGUGCCCUCGUCAGCAUCUUCCUCCCGCUUUGCCUUGCCUUUGGAGCGUUCGAAGAUCGCUCCAACGGCCUCUUCGCCCGAGGCGUAGUUGGUGGCAAUAUUGAGGAGCUCCUCUGUGGUUCGCGGGCCUUGGCGCCCUAGCUCGUGGACGAGGGGUUGGCAGGAGGUUCCCGCUAAGAAAGCCCCUAUGAUGUCGGCGUCCGCGACGUUGGAGAGCUCAGUGCGCUUCCUGGAGAAGCGUCGGAUGUAGUUCCGAAGGGACUCGUCCGAUCCUUGGCGACAGCUCCGGAGAUCCCAGGAAUUGCCGGGGCGCGUGUACGUGCCCUGGAAGUUUCCUAUAAAUAUCUACUUCAGGUCGUUCCAGCAGCAGAUCCAUCCCAAAGGGAUAUGUUCCAGCCAGGCUCGUGCCGAGUCGGCCAGGAAGAGUGGUAGGUUGCGGAUGAUGAACAGAUCAUCGUCCACCCCGCCGGUUUGACAUGCGAGCUGGUAGUUGCUGAGCCAAACCCCAGGGUUCGUCUCCCCCGAGUAUUUGGCUACGUUUGUCGGUUGCCUGAAGCGCGGCGGAAACGGCGCGUUCAGGAUGCACGCGGAGAAGGCCCAGGGCCCCGCCGGGUCGGGGCUCGGGCUGCGGUCUUCCUCGCUGUCGUAGCGCCCGCCGCGGUGGACGUGGUAGCCGCGAUCUACCCCGUUCUCCCUAUCCGCGCGGGAGCGCCUCCGCGCGUCCAGGGUGUCGUGGGCGUCGCGGACAGGGCUGACGCGUCGAUGAACGGAUCGAGCCCCGCCUCCCGCCGGCUCGGGGAGUUGCCGGAGUAGGACCGCCGCGGCAGCGAGGUUCUGGCUGGCGCGAGUGAAGAGCUGAGGGCGCUCUUCAUCCGCGCAGAUGCGCUGCUGGACGUCGCACGCCCGCUGUCGCGCUCCGCCUUCGUGGCGGGGGCGUUCGACCUCUUGGCGGGACACCGCGCGCGCCUCCGGCUGCCGAGGGCGCUCCGGAGCCUUGCCGAGAGCCCCGGUCGUAGCCGCGGCGCGCGAAGGGGGAGUCCUCUGUCUCCCUCCGGCACCAUCGUCGUUGGACCCCUCGGAGUGCACGUCGGCCAUGAAGCACUCACGUGAGGGGUGGUGGCUCCCGCUGUCGGAGCUAGCGUCGGAGAUUGUCCUCGCCACACCUGCGAGUUUGUUGCUCGCAGGCGACACGGUCAUGGACCGCGUCAGGAGGCGACCGUAGGUCACCGCGGCAUUGUGCAGCCCGAAGAGACGACCCCUGGGGAAGGGCCCUCCGGCGCGCGCCUGGCCGCUCGCCGCUGUCCCGGCGGCGGAGCCGGGGAUGGCGGGACGAGCGGGCAAGACGAGGAGAGGGAUCAGCUCGAUCCCCUCCCCGGUGGCGAGGAAGUCCAAACUCCCGAAGCGGAUCAGGGAGCCCGGAGCAAAGCUGGUGUCGUGGCUGGCCAUCCGAAGCUGGAGAUGUACGCGCAAAGGUCCCCUACCUAGCGCGCCAACUAUCGUUGUCAAGAUUUGCGGAUCGAGACUUAGACUAGUAAAUUUCUUUUAUGCGCGUAAGGCUUCGGAUGGUGGCGUGGGAGACAUGGGGUUAGACUGGUUCGGGCAAAAGGAGGCCCUACGUCCAGUAUCGAGGCUGCUCGUGUUACCCACGCGGGGUUCUGUAGUAGGGGUUACAAACAGGCGAGAGAGGGAGCCGGUCCCAGGUCUCUUGGGUGUGCGCUGAUGCUCGUGAGGUGAGUGUGUGGGUUCUGUUGGCUUGAGAGUCCUCUCGGUCUCGGGGCCCCUGGUUCUCCUUUUAUAGCGCAAGGAGGGCUCAGGGUUACAGGUGAGCCGGGUGUGUGGAGAAGUAAAAGAGAUAAGCUAAGUAAAGUAAAAUACAAGGAGAAGAACCAAGUCCCCGGAUCGCCGCCUCCUGCUCCGGCCUUCGGCUUCUGUCAGCGCGACCACCGGAGGAGGGCGGCUGUCGUCGGGUCUUGUCGCCGAUCCUUCGUGCGACCGUUGCCGCCGAGCAUGAUGAUGAUGCCCGGUCGCAAUAAUCGGGCACGUUGGGGGAGACGGCUGACCCCUGUAGUCCAGCUUACCUCGCGUGGAACACGGACGUCGCGUCCCUAUCGCCGGAUAGGCCGAGCGCGAGAACGGGCGGCGCUCCCUCCUGUGCCGGGCGACGCAUGCAAUGAGUGCCCUAUGGCGAAUCAAGGGGAGCCGCGGCCACUGUAGCCUGCGCGGUCGUGGCUACAGUGUUCCGCCCGGGUACUUGUGGCAGGUCACGUCGAGGGGCGCGGGCGCCUUUUUGGGUGCCAGAAUCGCGGCGCAUUUAUGGCAAGAUCGGUAGGGGGCCCACGGGAUCCGCACCCUCUUCUGCCGGUCUGCGCCCGAGGCGGACCCUUGUCCUGUGGGCCUGGGUGAGUCCGACCCCCGCGCCCAGGGUCGGGCGAGGCGGAGUUUGUGUGGUGGGGGUCGGGCGCUCCUGACCCCGGUCCCCUGGGUCGGGCGAGGCGGAGUUUAAUCUUCUAGGGGUCGGGAGCGUCCGACCCCGGGACUCCCGGUCGGGCGAGGCGGAGUUUAGUCUUCCAGGGGUCGGGAGCGUCCGACCCCGGGACUCCGGGUCAGGCGAGGCGAAGUUUAGUCUUCAAGGGGUCGGGAGCGUCCGACCCCGGGACUCCGGGUCGGGCGAGGCGGAACAUGGCCUCUCCCUUUCAUAUUGGGCUGACGACAAUUUUGCCUCCGCAGGUGGGCCUUGGCCUUCAUGGCUGUUGCCUUAAGCGGCAUUAGGAGGUCGUUAAUAUUUCCCCCCAACAGGAAGGAAGAAGGGUGCUGACAAGAUCCUUUUUAGUUUUUCGCUGGCGAUGGACCACUUGACAGAGCCCAACGAUUUGCGCGUCCCACACAACUAUGGUUGCAUGUGGAAAUUUCACCGCCACAACUGACCGUGCGAUCUGUUAAUAUGAUUGCGAAACAUACCCGAAAUUGUGUAUUGUUUCAUUCAUUGGUUCAUUGCUGACAGCGAUUCAUCGGGCCGGUCGUGGUGAGGCUGGUCACUUAGCAUUUUUAUUUAAAAGGCGCACAUGCAUAUCAAGAUUUAAACUUUGCAAUGUUUGACUAACAAUUUUUUUAUUUUUAUAAUGUACACUUUAUAUUCUCGGAUUCGUAACCAAAUAUACUCUAUAAUAAUUAUAAAUUUAUAACCAUAAACAAUAUAAUAUAAGAUAAAUGAAUGGUCAAAGUGCUAUUUGGAAGAUCAUGCUAAGUCGUAACAUGCCUUAUAAAUAUAGAUGGAUUGGUGCAGGUUUUUCUAAUUUGAUUUGGCUUAUACUCCCUCUGUCCCAAAACAUAUUUGUAUGUGAAUGUGCAGGUGGCAGUCAAUUAGAAUCAAAUAUGGCUAAUAAAUAGGAGCAAGCAAAAUCAUCUCAUAUUUUUGUUAAUUUAUCCUACAUUUUUUAGGAUGGUUUGUUUUUUUUUUGAAUAGAGGUAGUAUUGAUCGAUACUCCGACAUUUUAAUCCAUUUUUAGUAACACUGUUUAUGUAUCAACAAAGGUGAAAGUUGGCCCACCAGAGAGAAGAUGAUGAGCCAAGAGGAGUUACCUGCACUAUGAGUUGAGUGGACUAGCAGACAGUAAUAGAUAGACUCUUGUACUCAAGUUGUGAUGGAGUAUUAUUCUAUGGUUCAAACCAAACCUUUUCAUGGGUAUCUAACUCGGAUCUAGUUUGGGAGCACAAUGAUAGGUGCGAGUGGGCUGCCACCCAGACUAGGUUUCGAGGAGGCAGGGGGAUAAAAAAUGAUGUGAUGUGGGAUGGAAGAUAGUAGGUUCCACCUAUGUGAUCAAUAUUCUCAAGGGCAAUUUAGUCUAUUCAUCAAUAAUCUAACAUGCACUCUAGUUGAAAGUGAGAUGGAAUUGAUGGAAAUGUUAAACGAGGUAUGAAAGUUUUAACACUAAAAAAUGGCACAUGAGAAGUUGGAAGAAGAUAUACAAAGAAUGGCUUGGAUUAAAAGGAAGAUGGAGUAAAAAUACACAACAAAGUCAUUAAUGGAUUUCUCUCAUCGAAACAAUCCGUUGGACAUAUGGAUGACCUAAAUUGGACAGUGAAUGUGAAAGUUAUGGGGAUUGAGAGAUGACAUGAACAAUAAUACAGUAUCACCUGAUUGAUUUGGUGCGGUGGUGUUUUCGGCGGUUCCCAAUGCGUCAUACUGCAUGAUGGACUUUACUACCAGAUAGCUCUCCUCAUGGUGAUCAAAAUGGACAUGUAGAUGAACCUAGGGAGUUAUGUUCGACUACAGGUGACACGCUACAAUUGAUUGGUCUUAGUUAUAAAUUGAGCAUCAAAAUGCUCGGUCGUUACAGAUAGUUUGGGGAUUUUCUUCCAUAGUAGCACCGCUUGAUUCAGUCAUUCUUUGCUAAAUGAGCCGGCCAUUUCAUAGAGUCGAGAGGUUGACCAAUAGUAAGAUCGAUUGAUAUGGUGCUACUAUAGCAAAAUGGGUCGGUCAUUCCAUAGAGAUUGAGAAGGCUUCUCUAACCUCACCGAUUGAUUCGGUCAAAUACAUUGGUCCUUCCACCGAAUGAGUCAACCGUUCUAGAGCUGAAUCUGAGCCGAGCCAAUGAGCAGCGAUCGAUUCAAUCAGGCCUAGCCCUAAGGCAUCAACAAAUGGAUCGGUAGUUGUUCCAAAUUAUGGAUUUCGACGUGUUUUCUAGAUUUAUUUUGUUUGAGGGUUUUCUUAGCCCAUGUAUUAUUGGUUCGUGACUAUUUGAUUCUCCCCUUAUCUUUUGGACGGCACCAACUAUCGGUGCGGAAUCUGGCCGACAAGUAAGUGUUAGUAGUUUUGCCGUGCAUUAGAUAGGAUAUGGCCUAGCACACAAUGACACAGGAUGUAUACUGGUUCGAGCAAUAGGCCCUACGUCCAGUCGGAGUUGGUUGGUUGACUAUAUUGCCAAGCCUAGGUGCUCAAAGUUUGCAGUGGGGGUACAAAUGAGAGGGAUGAGAGGGGACGUCCGAGACCUGGUCGUGCUCUGGUCCGAGUGGGAGAGAGUGACUGGGGGCUUAGACGUGCGCUAUGUGUUCGAGAGUGCGCGCGCGUGUGGAAUGAGUAGAAGUGUCUACUUAUAGAACCUGUGUUCAAACGGGGAGGGCCCGUUCCUUUUAUAGUACAAGGGGAUAGCCUUACAAGUCAGAGAGAGAGUACGGGUGCUGCCUAGUCUUAUCGAGGCCCACGUCGUCAGGUACGGUAUGUUCGCCGUCCUUGGUCCCUGUUCAUCUCGUCAGGCCACUCCGUUGUAGCGGGUAGAUUGCGGCAGCACUGUGCGGGGCGUACGCAGAGCGUGGUGCGGUACGGUUCCUUGUACGGUAGUUGAUCUGGGCGCUUCCUCUUAUCCGUUCCACCUACUCCUAGGCCCACACUGAGGGGGCGUCCCCGGUCGAUUGUCCUAGUCGGCCCCGAUCGUGCCGGUCGGGGGGAGUGGUGUGGUUAGUACGACGCAUCUCCGGUCGGGGGAACUCGGUCGGGGUUAGACGGUGGUCCCACCCCCGACUGGACCCUUCUGGUCGGGGCGCCGACCAGGCAUCCUAGUCAGAGGAGCCGGUCAGUGGCCGGAUCUUGGUUGGCCUGCGUUGCGUUGCUGGGCCGAUCCAGGUACGCGUUGUCGCCGCACCUCUUACUGGGCCAAGUGCUGCAGGGAGAUCUUAUUGGGGACCCCGGGUCUAUGGACCCAUCACCGUACCACCCCACGUAUACUUGAGGGGUGUAGGCUAAUCGAAUCAACCCUAUCAAAUCUAUCAAUACAAUUACUUUUUUCCCUUUACUGACUUUUCCAACCCCAGUUGCUGUUGGUUUUUUCAUCUCCACGAUGAUCUACAACGUCCUAGCUAACCUGCUGAGUCUAGGGCACUCCAUUGACCGCCACAUCCUGACAGGUCCCUCUCAGGCACGACAGAUUCAAGAUGCUCGUUGUUGAAGGUACAUGUUGUGUCUUUAGUGUAAGGUAUGUUUUUAUAUGCCAACAAUACGGAAAGAAAACAUUUUCAUUGUCGAACUGUCGAUCGAAGUAAGGCAUAUAAAUUUUCUCAUUUUUUUUUGCCAUGUCAAACCUUUAGGCAGCAUCAGAGGAAAUAAAUAGCAGUUGACUCGUGAUGUACAACCAAAGGAAAAAGUUUGUAGGAUCAAGUUCCACCACUGAAAUGGCAUGUUCAUGUUUGGAAUGGAUGAAUCAGCGUUAUUGAGGCUUUGACUUUUCUUCUGCCCCAAAGAAAAAUCAGAGUGCAGUUGUUAAUAUUUAUCAGGAAAUUAUUUAUAAAUAUAUAAAUACCAUUUUCCACACUGGUAGAGAUCAGACACUACUAGUACAGUACCACUACCAAGUUCUACCUUUCCAAAGAAAUCAAAGAAACCUCCGAUCACAGAGGAUACUACUCCUGCGGCUACACCGAUCUGAAAAUCUCCUGCCAAGGCGAAGGGGCGAGCGUGAUCCCGGUCAUCCGUCUCGGCGGCGAAAACUACACCGUUCAGGACAUCUCCUACGAGAGCGGCAUCGACGGUUACAAAGUUAUUCUGGCGGACAGCGACGUGCUCGUCGGCGGCAAUUGCCCCGCAGUCCGCCACGGCGUCACCUUCGACGACGUGUGGCUGCAUAACACCAGCUCCACCGACGGCCUCACCUUCUACUUCGGCUGCUACUCACGCGGGCCCCCAUGCCGGCUGGAUUGCACAAAUACCAAAUCGACUGCAACAGUUUGAGAGUCCGGUUCCUGGCGGCGGAGUUGCAUUUGUAUUUACACCUGAUGAUCAUGACAAAGCCCAAGAGCACGACUUGGCUGCAGACUGCAAGGAGGUUGUCUCUGUGCUAGUAAAGAGUGAGGUUCUGAUGGAUAUGGCAAGUAACUGGACCAAUUUCACAAGGGAUGGAUAGGGGACGUGCUGAAGCAGGGGUUCGAGUUGAGCUGGAGCCGUAUCACGAUGGAUCAGUGUCCCCUGUGCGAGAAGUGCUCCUACAGCCAGAACAAGACAUUCCUGGGUUGCUUGUGCUCCAACCGCAAGGUGGGCUACCCGGACUGCAGACCAAGUAAGUCUCCAACACUUAACAUUCUGUUUCACUUCCUUCAUUUUUGCAAUCACCACACCACGCGCAUUCGAGAUUUCCGGGAUGCAUUAGUAAUUUCCAUCUGUUUUAGCUAGCCUCCUUGUGCCCGUCUCCGUAGUGUGCGUGCCCCUCUGCUCCUAAUCAUGCUGCUCGCCUCGAGCUAAUGAUGAAAGUUGGACCUGACCUUGUCUGAAAUUCCUUGAGUUCGCCUGGAAAAUUAGUUCCUGGGUAGGUAUAGAACUGGAAAUCCUGGUUCGUGUUUUCAUCAGUCGACAAAGAUGGUUUGCAGCCUUUCUUUCGUCUGCUUUUGCACCAAAUCCGUGCUUUUCUCAUGAACGAGAUUCAUCAGGCGGCCCGGCGGCCUGCCGUGCUCCACAGCAUUUCGUAGAUCAGAGGACAGUACGUCCCCUGUGUUUUGCAGCGUGGAACAAGUGCAGGAUACUAAACGCAGCCCCCAAGACCGGGUUUGCAUCGCCGAAUGGAGAAGUUCGUUAGCAUUUGGUAGCUCUAGCAGCCAGGCGACCCUUUUUUUUUGGGUGGGGGGUGUCUUGCACGUCCAGAACAGGGUAACCCUAAUCACCCGACAGUCCAUUCCCAUCCCCGCGACUUUCAAAAAUAAAUUGAAAAGUUUAACUUUUUAUUUUCAAAAUAUCAUAACUUAUACAUAUAACUUCGAUGCAUAACUUCAUAAUAUAACUUCUUAUAAGGUAAUUUUUUAGCACUUCAAUAGCGUGUAGAACUUACACGUACAACUUCUAGAUACAAUUUGUAAGAAUAACUUCGAAUUUUAUUUUUUAUAAAGUUUAGCAUAACUUUUUUCUAACAACAACUUAGAUGAUAAUUCUAUAAUACAACUUUAAUGAUAUACAACUUAUACUCGUUAUAUUUGUCAUAAUUUUUGGGAGAAUGUUGUUUAAAAAUUUAUGCACAUAACUUACACAUAUACUUGGUACAAAUUGUAGAAAAAAUAAUUGAAGAAAGGAAAAAAGAAAAAAAUAAUAAUUGAGCCGGAGCGUCGGGGACGGCACUGGAGCCGAGGCUGCGGCAGCGACGGCGGAAGAGGCGAGGCGAACCAGACGGAGUCAAUUUCGUCCGCGGACAAGGAGGACGCGUACGCCUGCUACGUGGGCCUCCCGUACCUGCGUUUUCCUCAGGGCCGGUCCCACAGAAGACGUGGCUGCCUGUAACAGGCAGAGACGCGGGAGAGCUCCCGGAGGCGUGCAAAUCUUACAGCGUUGUAUCUCUACUUAUGCACUAUGCAGCCGAGAUCGCAGAUCAAACGGCUUGACACAAACCAUGGCUCACCUACCACGUUUCCUCCCCGUCAUCCUCUUCCCCUUCGUCUCCCUCGUCGCCCAUUGCCCCGCUUCCCAUGGCACCCCUCUUCCGCCCACCUACGACGUUUCCAUGUGCGUGGAGUCGCCGAUCUGGUGCGGCGGCGUCGAAAUCCACUACCCGUUCUACCUCGCCAACUCGACCGCCUACCACGGCGCACCCUUCUCUUGCGGGUACACCGACCUGAAGAUAGCCUGCAAGGACGACGGGGAAACGCAGACCCCCGUCAUCCACCUCGGCCGAGACGACUACACGGUCCAGAACAUCUUCUACAACAACAACAGCUUCCUGCUGGCCGACGCCGACGUGCUUCGCGGCGGCGAUUGCCCCAGGGUCCGCCACAACGUCAGCUUCGACGAGGCGUGGCUGCAGUUGCGCAACACCAGCUCGCACGACAAUCUCACCUUCUUCUUCGGCUGCUUCUCCAAGCAGCCAGGCGGCGGCGAUCCUCGGCCGCUCGGUUUCGACACGGAUAAGUACCGGAUCAACUGCACGGGGUUGGGGAACGCACCUGGUGGCGGAGCCUCGUUCGUGUUCGCCGCCGAAGAGCUCGACAACGCCCAAGAGUAUGAGUUGGCCGCGCACUGCGGGGAGAUCGUCACCGUGCCGGUACGAAGCGAGGUUCUCGAUCUCAUGGCGAGUGAUCAGUCCAUGUUGGCGAGGGGUGGAUACGGCGGCGUGCUAAGGCAGGGGUUCGAGCUCGCUUGGACCCGGAGCACCAAGGAUCAAUGCUACCGGUGCGAGAACUCCGGCGGGCGAUGCGCCUACGGCUACGCCAAGGCUUUCCUCGGUUGCUUGUGCAGCGGGAAGGUCGGUGACCCGUACUGCAAAAACAGUAGUGCCAGCACAGUACAACCGCCAAGUAAGUCCUCCAGGCUCCAGGACCCAUCCUUCGAUUUUACCCCUCGUUUCUGCGAUCACCAGACGCGUUCCAGUAGCUUGUCGCGUUUGGUGCUUUCUUGGCUUCUUGUCCCCGCUGCUGCUGCUUCUCUGUUUAGGCCCGCGAGUUUUUUUUUUUUGAUAAAUGGUCCGCGAGUAGUUAUAGUUUGACUGAAAAAUACCGCGUGGGUAUGUAGAAAAGAUAGGAAUUCCAAUUCGCAUUUCCUCAUUCGGUACCCCGUUUUGUUCUUUUUCUCGAACGAGAUUCAUCAGGCGGCCCGGCGUACUCCACAGCGUUUCGUAGAGCAGAGAACCAAACUGUCCUUCCUUUCAGUCUGAACUCCAAAACAAGAGUCAGGUUACUACCCACUGCUCACUGAAUUCAUGCCGAAAGUGUGAAACACAGCCUACACACCUGGUUUAAUUGGCAUCGCUGAAUUGAGAAGUUAGCUAGCAUUGGCUAUGGUAGGCAAAUGACCAGAAGCGUUUUUUCCUUACACGUGUGAUACUUGAGUUGCUGCAGGCUCUUCGUUGGAGCCACAGCACAUUGGCCGUGAGAGCAGAGACCGCCAUGCGAGUACCCCAAACGCUAUGUUUGGUCCAAAUUCAAGACGUGUUGCUGAGGUCGGAGAAAUUGCGUUCACUGAGAUAGUUCGACUACGGUGGUUCCCAAAACUUUCUAACUGCUGACCACUCCGGACCAUUGAACGCAAAUCUUCUAGUGAGAAUACGUACAUGAAUAUGGAUCCAGAACCAAGGACGCGACCUUUCUUUCUUCCAAGGGCGUUAGCCAAUGGAAAACGCGCGAGUGUGACUUCGCCAAGGCAGAGUAAUUGCCUAAUUGGCAUCUUGCGAGACCCAGCUGGUCACGGUCAGCCACGGCUCUUUGCCGCACUUUGCCGCCAUGUCCCUCUCGUCGGCAACCCGGCCGCCGAUCGACCUUGAAACUCAUCAGGCCCUCGCAACCUUAUAAACGGAGGCCGGCCGCCACCAAACCAGAGGGGGAAAAAAGUAGCCUGACCUGUUUAGGUUUAGCCAUGGCUCUCUUGCUACGGCACCGGCUGCUGCUGCCGCCGCUGCUUCUCCUUGCCAUCUUGGUUGCCGCUUCCCAUGGCGCGCCUUCCAGCGGGGGCGAUAGCUACGACACCUCCAUGUGCGUGCGGCAACCUUACAACUGCGGCAACGUCAACAUCAGCUACCCGUUCUAUAGCAAGAUGGAAACUCUCCUGGGAAACGACAGCUCGUACUGCGGCUACCCUGGCAUGGAGAUUCAGUGCGAGGAAGGCCGAGCCUUCCUGGAACUCGACAGUGGCAAGUACACCGUCUCGCGCAUCGACUACGAGCCCCCCGGAGUCUGGCUUGCUGAUCCUGAUGUCCUCAACGAGGGGAGCUGCCCCAGAGCCAAUCACAACGUGACGCUCGGGAAUGUCUCAUGGCUGGACUAUCCUAACGACACCGUCGAUUACCUCCUCUUCUUUAUCAAUUGCAACUUCCUCUCCGCCCCCGACAUCACUCGGCCACCGUCAAACACGACCUCCACCUGCAAAUUCGAUGACGAGCCGGCGUAUGGGAUGUCUUUUGUGUUUCGGGAGGAAGACGUGCCGUACCAGGACACGAAUUGGUGGCAGGUGUGCGGCAAAGUUAUCGAAGUGCCUGUGCUGAAAUCCGGUCUCCCUCCCGAUCCACAAAAUGAUCCUAGAUGGAGGAACGGUGGGUACGGCAGCAGUCUUCGUGAAGGAUUCCAGUUGGCAUGGCACCAAGAGCGCAAGGCCUCCGCGUGUGACCAGUGCGAGCGAUCCAAGGGGCAGUGCGGCUACAACCAGAAGGGGGGACACGUAGCAUGCUUGUGCUCCGGCGGGCGAGUCGGCGCUCCCAAUUGCUCCUCAGGUAAGCCUCUAGAAGCUUUUGCUCUGCUUUUCCAAACUGCCCGGGGAUUACUGGUUACUUUGCUUCAAUUCAUCGUACCGUCCUUCAUUUUGUUUUCUCUACAAUCGUUCUCCCUUUUUAGAUCUCUGUAGAGACUAGGGUCAAAGGUCCUUUUUAGGGCAUUUGUUAAUUGAUGAACAUAAAACUGUUUUGAACUUAAGUAAAAUUUGUCCACCUUCUCUAUAAUUGCGUUUUUUUUUGGAUCCUUGAAUUAGCAAGAUAUAUGGAAAUGGCAAAGUUUCUGGUGAAACUAUACGGAAUGUCUGUCACAACUCACAUGCAACUCUUUGUGUACAUCAAUCAACCGACUUGGAUCAUAUGAGUCCUAAGUGGACAACCACAUAUCUGAUGACUAUAGGUGACUAGCGUGCAUUCAUGGUAGUGACUGGCAACAACCUACCAAUGGAUUCCCUGCUAUCUAUGUUACUAUGUACAUGUUCAUUAUUAGGGGGUGUUUGGCAGGGAGGGGCUAAAUUUUAGCUCCUAUCACAUCGGAUGUUUGACACUAAUUAGGAGUAUUAAACAUAGUCUAAUUAUAAAACUAAUUGCACAACCCCUAGGCUAAAUCGCGAGAUGAAUCUAUUAAACCUAAUUAGUCCAUGAUUUGACAAUGUAGUGCUAUAGUAACCAUUCGCUAAUGAUGGGUUAAUUAGGCUUAAUAGAUUCGUCUCGUGAUUUAGUCUAGGGGUUCUGCUAUUAGUUUUAUAAUUAGCUCAUAUUUAGUUCUCCUAAAUAGCAUCCGUGUGAACGUGUGAUGUGAUAGGACUAAAGUUUAGCCCCUGACAUCCAAACGCCCCCUUAGUGUCAAUUUCCAAAUCUUUCAAAAGGCUUGAAGCUACAGCCCAUUUUCCUUGUGUUGUUGAUCUAACACGGUUCCUCUUGUGUCGGUCACCUGCUUUAGGAUGGUAGAAUAUUCUUAGCUCUGUAAGACGACUAUAUAUGCCAUUUCUGUACACUUAUGUGCUUCUUUGCUUAUGUAAUUGCAGGACUUGAUGCUAAGAAAACUAUAAUCGGUAAGCAACCUCUAUCUUGGGUUCACUUUCAGUGUUUUUCCUGUGUUUAUUCCUAUACUAAUCUGUUGCUAAGUCUGCUUUACAUGUGCCUAUAUAAUCUGCACCCAUCUUCAUUUUGUCCAAAAGACCAGACAUAUGGCUAAUUAUUGGCAUGCCGUGUUUUAAAGGAAGCUAGAAAUGAUGGAUAGAAGUUGAAAAACAAGAUUGGAGUACCACACACUCAUCUUAUAUAGCCACCUCCUCCAAAGAAAUCAAGAGCAAAAUCUUCUCCCUUAGAUUUGGUAUUUUUGGAGCUUUUCCUGAGCUCUUCUUAGGCAAGCUCCAAAUGGAAGGUAUCCUGGUGAAAAAGAUGUCUGUGGCCUUAAAUGGACGGGCUCUGUGCUGGCGGGCCACAUAAGCCAACCGCCAACACAGAUGGGGUGUGCUGGCGGGUGCUUAGGUCGCCCGCCAAUAUAGUGGCCUCUGUGCUGGUGGGUACUCCCCCGCCGACACAAGGAAGCUUUGUGCUGGCGGAUACUAAUAAUAAAUUGCAUGUGCCAGCACAAAUCAAAUUGAAACUACUGCCUAUUUUCCUUGUGCGUUGUUGAUCUAACACGGUUCUUCUUGUUUCGUUCACCUGCCUUUUUCAUGAAGCCAUGUAAUCUGUUUUUGGGUGUACGGUAGAAUAUUGUUAGCUUUGUAAGAUGCUUAUAUAUGCAAUUUAUGUGCACUUAUGUGUUUCUUUGCUUGUGUAAUUUGCAGGGCAUGGUAAUAAGAAAACUAUAAUCGGUGAGGAACCUCAAUCUUGGGUUCACUCAAUGUUUUUCUUUUGUAUUCGUAUACUAAUCUGUUACAAAACCUGCUUUACAUAUGCCUAUAUAAUCUGCACCCAUCUUCAUUUAGCCUAAAAGAGCAGAAAACAAAGGCAUGGCACGCCAUGUUUUAAAAUCCAUGAUUCUCGCAAAUAUAUUAUUUUGGAAUCCACUGCCGGUGACAACAAUGGCGAAAAAUUAUAUCGUCCCUUUGGAAAAUAAACUUUCAAGUUUCCCUACUGACUGGCAAUAUAUGCAUUAUGCUUUGCAAAAUGGAUUUUUAGAACGCUUCGCAAAAUGACUGAACAUUGGAGAAGAAUUUUUAUCCAUCCUCUGGGAAAUAAACCUAUGUGUUUCCCUACUGACUUUGCAAAAUGAAUUUCUAGAGCACUUCACAAAAUGGAUUCACUUGUGAUGUCUUGUUGUGAUGCAGGUAUUGUUGCAAGCACAUCAAGCCUUCUAUUUCUGAGUCUACUUAUUCUCGCGUUCUUCUUGACCUGCAAAUAUGGUUCGCUGCCCUUUAAAUCAAACAACAAACCAAGGAUUGAAUCCUUUUUACAAAAGAAUGGGAACCUACAUCCUAAAAGAUACAAUUAUGCAGAUGUGAAAAGCAUGACAAAGUCUUUUGCUGUUAAGCUAGGCCAAGGUGGAUUUGGUGCUGUAUACAAAGGUAACCUCUCUAAUGGCGGCCAAGUAGCAGUAAAGAUGCUAAAGGACGUCAAGGGUGAUGGGGAGGAAUUUAUGAAUGAGGUGGCUAGCAUUAGCAGAACUUCUCAUGUCAAUGUUGUUACCCUUCUAGGAUUUUGUUUGCAAGGAUCCAAAAGGGCUCUCAUUUAUGAGUACAUGCCUAAUGGUUCAUUGGAAAGGUAUACCUUCGGCACCAACAUCAACAGUGAAAAUAUACUAAGUUGGGAGAAAUUAUUUGAAAUAGCAAUUGGCAUUGCUAGAGGGCUUGAAUAUCUCCAUCGAGGAUGCAAUACUCGCAUUGUGCAUUUUGAUAUCAAGCCCCACAACAUUCUAUUAGAUCAAGAUUUCUGUCCUAAGAUCUCUGAUUUUGGAUUGGCCAAGCUAUGCCUGAAUAAAGAGAGUGCUAUAUCCAUUGUCGGUGCAAGAGGAACAAUAGGCUAUAUUGCCCCUGAGGUCUAUUCAAAACGAUUUGGAACAGUAAGUAGCAAAUCUGAUGUUUAUAGUUAUGGAAUGAUGGUACUUGAGUUGGUUGGGGCAAGGGACAAAAAUAUCAAUGCAGAUAGCGAAUCUAGUAGCCAAUAUUUCCCUCAGUGGAUUUAUGAGCAUGUGGAUGAAUACUGCAUCAGUGCUUCAGAGAUUAAUGGUGAGACCACAGAGCUUGUGAGAAAGAUGAUACUGGUAGGUUUGUGGUGUAUACAAGUGAUCCCAACUGAUCGGCCAACAAUGACUAGAGUCAUGGAGAUGCUGGAAGGCAGCACAAGUAAUCUUGAACUACCACCCAAAGUGCUCCUGGGUUGAUAUGCAUCAAUAUGUUCCCAAUAAAAAUGUUACUCACUGAAACCAGUUUGCUCAAAUGCAAAUUUUUGUUGUACUUAAAAAAAGGGCAUGCAUCAAAUGUUACUUUUGGUAUGUAAACAGAGAUGGAACUAAUAUAUGAAUUGCUGACCAGGGGUGGUCAUAUAGCACCACAUGAUGAUGUUAUUUGAUCAGACUAGCUACAAGUAUGGUUUCACUUCUUUGCACUCGUAAUGAUUUCAUUAGGUAAAUGCGUUACAGAUUCAGUAGUGAGUGAGUUUACAUCCCCACGAAAUACAUUAGCACAAAAUACGUUUUCAUCCCGAUUCAGAUCAGAACUGCAAUGCUCAAUUGCUGAAAAUACUUGAACUGGUUAUUGGAGAUUAGGUUUUGAGAGCCAGAGGUUUCCAAAAGUAAGAGUGGCCAAAAUAGGACCAACGCGGCCACUGCUCAGGUUUCAGAUGCUUGCCAUGGACUGCAGCGGGUGCCGCCUGGGUCGAUGUUUGCCUCCACGACCUCCGCCUGAGUGCCCGUCUCGAUGCCAGGUAGCUCCCAACAGAUGGCUACGCUCGCUGUCCAAAUCCAUUGGAUCGCACAGACCAGAGCGCGCACGAGAGGCGGCGAUGACCGGAAGGAAGAAGGGGGCUGACCAGAUCCUUUUUAGUUUGCGCUGGCCGUGGGCCACUUGACAGAGCCCAACGCGCCCAACACAACUUUGGUUGCAUGUGGAAAUUUCGCCGCCACGACGGACCGCGCAAUCUGUUAAUACGAUUGCGAAACAUACCCAAAACUGUGUAUUGUUUCAUUCAUUGGUUCAUUGCUGACAGCGAUUCAUCGGGCCGGUCGUGGUGAGGCUGGUCACUACUCCAGACACUGCUCACUACUUACUACUCCCUCCAUUUUUAUUUACUAGUAUGUGACAUGAUGCGCUGCUACUAAUGAAGGUCCAAGAUUUUAUUUUCUUAUUUAUAUACUUAUCUGGCCCUUGCUUUUAACACCUUGCCUCUCAUGCACAAUUACCUGAUUAAGCUAGCUUGUCUUAUAUUGCUUGCCUAGAAUGUUAGGAGCGACAUAUUUUUGCUUGAUUCAUCAUCAUCAUCUGCAUUCUUGAUUGUAUUACAGCAAAGAAGCUGGGACAACAGGGAGCAUGGAUAAGGAGGAGAAUAAGGAAGCAUCAGUGAGCAUUAGCAACAAUGACACGGACACCAAUGAUUUUGAGGAUGACGACUAUGAUGACGAUGAUGGGAAGCACACCGUGGCGCUUGGUCCUCAGGUUCCCCUCAAGGACCACCUUGAGCUCGACAAGGUAACAUGGUUAUGCCUGAUCACGUCAUGCGAUUAUGUGACACCUUCAGUAUGUAGGUUAGGCCACCAUCUAUGCCGUUAUUACUGUUGCUUCCCCAUCCAUUUACCCUUUGAAUGCGAUGUAUUUGCCUAGGAUGAUGACAGCCUAAGGAGGUGGAAAGAGCAGCUCCUCGGAGAUGUUGAUACCACUAAGCUUGGAGGUACAUUUAAUACCGCACUAAUGCUCGCACAUGUGUUGCAAUGUCAGAAAUGAAAGUCACUACAGAAAGCAAAAAUGGUGUGUCCAUGGCAUGAUCUGAUAAAUUUUUUUUUCACUACAGCCUUGCUGUUUCUUUCAUUCACUUUCAGGCACACUAAAGCACAAAUAAGCUAACCUUUAAAUUUUUCUUAAGAGACAAGAUAACAUCGAGUUAGAAUUCCGGUGCAGCUAAAUAUAUUAACUUGAACAUGGCCUGGAAAGUGCAGUCAAUCAAACAAAGCUUCCAUAUGCUUGGACUGGUAGUACCUUUAUGUAUGCAGAGACUGCAGAACCAGAGGUGACCAUAUUGAACUUGACCAUCCUAAGUCCAGAGCGACCGGAUCUGGUUCUGCCGAUCCCACUUGUGCUGGAUGACAAGGGGUACGCAUUCUCGCUCAAGGAUGGGAGCACCUACAGUUUCCGCUUCUCCUUCACUGUCUCCAACAACAUUGUGUCUGGUCUCAGAUAUACACACAACGUCUGGAAGACUGGAGUAAGAGGUGACUUAUAAUCAAUCAUAUGCAUAUAUGUUUAUCAUCUUUGUUGGUUACGUACUGAUGCUGCAAUUUAUGAGAAUAAGGAUGGUGGCAUGAAUUUUGAGUAGUUUUACAUGAUCCUUGUGUUAAUUGACAUCUGCAUUACAUUGUAGUGCUGGUUAUGUAAAUGCUUACCGUAAAACUACUAACUAUUUGGCUCAUGAAUUUUGCAUCACACAUGAUCGGUCUUUUUUAUGUAAACAUAAUUGCCAUUGUCCUUUUUUUUGCAACGAAUGUUAAUGUUCAUCUUCACUUACCUGGAAGUCAGUUGGCCUUUGAUAUCGAAAUCUCAGUCAUUGAGUCAGCGCAUGCUCCCCCUCAGCCUAAGAUAGUUGACCCCCCGGUUGCUUUUGGCAGUGGAAAAUCAGAAGGUGAUGCUGGGGACCUACAGUCCUCAGCAGGAGCCUUACAAUUACGAGGCCGAGGAAGAUACGACACCAAGCGGCAUCUUUGCAAGGGGUUCAUAUUCUGCAAAGCUGAAGGUAAGGAAACCCCUCUAGUAUUUUCUACACAUUUGAAGCCUACCUUCCUGAAUUUUCUACACAUUUGGAAAUGCAUAGCCCAGUGUCGUAAUGAAUUUGUAUGAAUUUGGCUUUCCAGUUCGUGGACGAUGAUGGGAAAGUCUACCUGGACAUGAGCUACUGCUUCGAGAUCCGAAAGGAUUGGCCAGCCUCGGCCUGAAACUGAGAAAGAGUGUGAAAACAGGGUUUAGGUGGGCAUGUAACAGGGAAUGGAUAUUGGAUAGUCCUGUGUCUUGUGUACGAUUCUCGCUGAGCGACGGCGUGGCCCGGCAAUCUGAGCCGGAAGGCCGAAAACAGAAUUCGUUGUGUUGCCUGAUGGGCAUGGCUCGGAAGAAUCCUCGUGAGAUGCAACUUUGAAUCUGUGGAGUUCAUUUAUCCAUUCCUGUGUUGUUUCUGAACCCGCGGAAUGAACUUGCCUGUUACCUCUCAGCCUGCUGCCCUGGUUGUAUUGUAUUGUCCUCCUAGUCCUACUGCUAUAAUUUACGGAAUUUCUGACGACGAGGAAAAACCUGUAACUAGCAGAAUGUCCGUACGUUGCUACGGAUAGCCAAUCUUAUCACCUCCCUCCUUCUCUUCUCUCCCAACCUCUCCGGCACGCCCCGCGGAGGAACCUCGACGUUAUUGCAUCUAUACAUGGCAUAUCGCCCCGGGUGUAGGGGAGUUUGGCCCCAACACUUCUUCUCAAUGCAUCCCCCUGGUGUAUGUCUUUUCCGGCUUUCCCCCAUCAUUUACCACGUGCACAAGAAGAGAGCAUUGCCGCGGGCUGCCUCCCUCGCACCCUGAGCUCAAGCCCACGAAAAAACUUGCCGCUUACAAACUCUUUACCCUUCGAGGCUGGAGCAACGAGCACACGCCACUAACGCCUGGCGAGUUCCUUGUCCGGGGAGCGUUCUCUUACGCUGGCCUCAGCAUGGAUGAGAUGGCCGUUUGGUACUAAUACAAGCUUUGCAUUUAAGAAGAAACGGAUUGUAAAUCUCUCGGUCUGGCUCUGUCAUGUUGCUCGCUGCGUGCGCGUUCUGGAAAAUCCCCCAAAGGGGCCUGGGUUGCCUCACGAGACGCUCGUGGGCUUAUUCGAACCCACGAAAUAGCAAAAUGUAACAAGUCCGGUCGGUCAUCUCGUUAGCUAGAUCGAGCUCUGAAGAAACAUACGACACGAUGACGUUUGAAAGACUGAAACUAAUCGAUUGCACGCAAGCUGGCUCAUCCGCCAUGCAUGCAACUCUAAUGGGCUAACGGCUAACGCACCACGACCGCCUCGCCUGCUAGGAGUGAGGAGGAGGAAAAUAAUGGGGAAGGGUAAGGUGCAUCCGUCACCGUCGCUACCGGCAGCGGCGGCAGGAGGAGAUUCAGACCAAAGCACUACACCAUAAUCUGACAUAAGACCUUAAGGUACCACCAGAUAAACACGCAUCAGUAGCACGAUCAGUAAGAAAACCACAACUUAGAGCAUACAUCCAUGGCCCUCAAAGCAAGAAUAGUACUUAGAAGAAUCUUCAAGCAGAUGGCUUCACAUGUAGCUAGCACUAAACUACACUGCACAGAUAUAGCAACUAUAAAACCCACAUUCUAAAUUUCCUUGAAAUGAUCCUUUCAAUUGAGCUGACUAUUUGAUAAUGAUAGAACAACAAGCCACCUUCAUGAGUAUGUCAAUAGUACUGAAUCAAAAUCCUGUUCUAACAGCCAAAUAAAAACAUCGCUAUGUCAACCAUGAAUCCAUGAUUCAUACAGUGCAUGGAUCUGUAUACACCUCACAACUAGCACCAAAUAAUCCGACCAAUACUGCUUGACGAAAUAAACAGCAAAUUGACACCAUAUACUUGUAAAUUCCAAACACACCUAAGCAACCAUAUCUUAUCAUAACUAAACCUUUUGAUGAGACUGACUACCAUGAGAGGAACAUGCCCAAUGCAAAAACCGCAGAAUUCUGAGCACUCCACUUGCCUCCGUAUUCCAAUAACAAGUAUCAGGUACAGUUUCCAUCACAAAAAUUAGGCGUACGAACAAAUUAUCCUGAACAGACUAAUCAUCAUGCAAACCAGAGAUAGAUCGAGACCAAACCCUUCAAAUUAUCCUGUUUCGGCUAAGCCCGGAUGCUUCGGGUGCUACACGGCCUAUUGGUCCCGCUGAGAUGGGUCCCUGGAGGGCGACCGCAAGGCCAUCCACCAUGCCAUCGAGGCCUUCGAGGAGCACCUGGCGAAAGAAGAGAUAGAGGGCACCGGUGGCGGCAAGUGGGGAGGCGGGGCCUGUCGUGGCCGUAAGAAGCGCACCGCCAAGGAGAAGGCCACCAAGGGGAAGGGGAAGGGCAAGAGCAAGGAGGUCGCCGUCGACCCCCUCCACCUCCCACCGCCGGCGGCGGCAGCGGCGGCUUUCCCUACUCCGGAGGAGGCCCCGAAGGCGGAGGACGGCGCGGAGUACCUCACCGCGGAGGAGGAGAAGGAGCAUGAGCUGGAGGAUGCCGCCGCUGGCGAGGAGGAGAAGCGGGGGCGUGGUUGGGGCGGCGUGCUGGCCGACCUCACCGUCGAGGCCGCGCGCAGGGGCAGCACGGGGUAGCGGCGGGGCACCCCGCUCCGGCCGCCGUUCGCGCCCAAUCCCCCCCUUUUCCUCUGAAAGGAGAAGCUUUUUCCCCUUUAACCCCCUCCCUUCCCUCCUUUUUCCACCCGAGCUCCUCAUCUGUUCAGCAUUUGGACUGCGGGUUGAUUACUAAAAAGUUGAGGGACUUUUUUUGCAAAAUGACCAUAAUGGUUGGAAGAAACAACCGCUCUUUUAUAUUAGGUAUAGAUAAGGCGCACACGCAUAUCAAAAUUCAAACUUUACAAUGUUUGACUAAUAAUUUUUUAUUUUUAUAAUGUAAACUUUAUAUGGUUGGAUUCGUAAUCAAAUAUACUCUAGAAUGAUUAUAAGUUUAUAACUAUAAAUAAUAUAAUAUAAGAUAAAUGAAUGGUCAAAGUGUUAUUUGGAAAACCGUGCUAAGUCGUAACAUGCCUUAUAAAUCUAGAUGGAGGGAGUACUAGUCAGCAGCCACUAGCCACUGGUGCAGGUUUUCCUAAUUUGAUUUGGCUUAUACUCCCUCUAUCCCAAAAAUAAAUUGUCAACGUUAACUUCUUUAGUAUGUGAAUGUGCAGGUGGAAGUCAAUUAGAGUCAAAUGUGGCUAAUAAAUAGGAACAAGCAAAAUCAUCUCAUAUUUUUGUUAAUUUAUCCUACCUUUUUUUAGGAUGGUUUGUUUUUUUAACAGAGGUAGUAUUGAUCAAUACUCCUACAUUUUAAUCCAUUUUUAGUAACACUCUGUAUGUAUCAACAAAGGUAAAAGUUGGCCCACCAGAGAGAAGAUGAUGAGCCAAGAGGAGUUACCUGCACUAUGAGUUGAGUGGUCUAGUAGACAGUAAUGGAUAGACUCUUGUACUCAAUUUGUGAUGGAGUAUUAUUCUAUAGUUCAAACCAAACCUUUUCAUGGGUAUCUAACUCGGAUCUAGUUUGGGAGCACAAUGGUAGGUGCGAGUGCGCUGCCACCUAGACUGGGUUUCGAGGAGGCAGGGGGCAGGGGGAUAACAAAUGAUGUGAUGCGGGACGGUAGAUGGUAGGUUCCACCUAUGUGAUCAACAUUCUCAAGGGCAAUUUAGUGUAUUCACCCAUAAUCUAACAUGCACUCUGGUUGAAAGUGAGAUAGAAUUGAUGGAAAUGUUAAACGAGGUAUAAAAGUUUUAACAUAAAAAAUGGCACAUGAGAAGUUGGAAGAAGAUAUACGAAAAAUGGCUUGGAUUAAAAGGAAGAUGAAGUAAAAAUACACAACAAAGUCAUUAAUGGAUAGCUCUCAUCGGAACAAUCAGUUGGACAUAUGGAUGACCUAAAUUGGACAGUGAACGUGAAAGUUAUGGAGAUUGAAACAUGACAUGAACAAUAAUAUAGUAUCACCUCAUUGAUUCGGUGCGGUGGUGUUUUCAAUGAUUCCCAAUGCAAGGUCAUACUGCAUGAUGGACUUUACUAUCAGAUAGCCCUCUUCAUGCUGAUCAAAAUGGACAUGUAGAUGAACCCAGGGAGUUAUGUUCGACUAAAGGUGACGCGCUACAAUUGAUUGGUCUUAGUUAUAAAUUGAGCAUCAAAAUGCUCGGUCGUUACAGAUAGUUUGGGGAUUUUCUUCCAUAGUAGCACCGAUUGAUUCGGUCCUUCUUUGCUAAAUGAGCCGGCCAUUCCAUAGAGUCGAGAGGUUCACCAAUAGUAAGAUCGAUUGAUAUGGUGCUACUAUAGCAAAAUGGGUCGGUCAUUCCAUAGAGAUUGAGGAGGCUUCUCUAACCUCACCGAUUAAUUUGGUCAAAUGCAUGGGUCCUUCCACCGAAUGAGUAAGCCAUUCUAGAGCCGAAUCUGAGCCGAGCCUAUGAGCAACAAUCGAUUCAAUCAGGCCUAACCCUAAGGCAUCAACGAAUGGGUCGGUACUUGUUCCAAAUUAUGGAUUUUAACGUGUUUUCUAGAUUUAUUUUGUUUGAGGGUUUUCUUAGCCCAUGUAUUAUUGGUUCGGGACUAUUUAAUGCUCCCCUAUCUUUUGGACAAGUCCAUACCACCCCACAUAUACUUGAGGGGUGUAGGCUGAUUGAAUCAACCCAAUCAAAUCUAUCAAACACAAUUAGUCCUUUUUUUCCCUUUACUGACUUUUUCAACCCUAGUUACUGUUCAUUUUUUUUCAUCUCCACAAUGAUCUACAACAUCCUAGCUAGCCUGCUGAGUCUAGGGCUCUCCAUUGACCGCCACAUCGUGAUGGAUCCCUCUCAGGCACGGCAUUCAUCAGAUUCAAGUCCUUCUACAGCAUGCCUUGCACAUCAUGCUCGUUGUUGAGGGUACAUGUUGUGCCUUUAGUGUAAGGCAUGAGCCAAUAAUAUGAAAAGAAAAUAUUUAUAGUGUUGAACUGUCGAAGUAAGGCAUAUAAAUUUCCUCUUUUUUUUUUUGCCAUGUCAAACCUUUAGGCAGCGUCAGAGGAAAUAAAUAGCAGUUGACUCGUGAUGUACAACCAAAAAAAAAGUCACACUGAAAUGGCAAGUUCAUGUUUGGAAUGGAUGAAUCAGCGUUAUUGAGGCUUUGACUUUUCUUCUGCCCCAAAGAAAAAUCGGAGUGCAGUUGUUAAUAUUUAUCAGGAUUUAUAAAUAUAUAAAUACCAUUUUCCACACUGGUAGAGAUCAGCGGACACUACUAGUACAGUACUACUACCAAGUUUUACAAGUCAAGUCGCCGGUAGCCGAACUCUUAACACUCGUUCUGUUGGUAUUUUUGACUCUCCUUACACCAAGUGAUUGUCGACGUCUCCAUUGUUAAAGGACUCUCUUCCCCCGCAUUACUUUUCUUUCACGAUUUUCUGCUUGCUUGGACUUCAGACGGUGUGGAAUGUUCCUUUGCUGAGAUUGCGCGGUUACUUUUAUGUUUGAUCAUACUUUUCCAAGAAAAAAUCUCGCGGUUGACGUGUUCCUGUGUGAGGACGUUCUUUCCGCGUAAUCGCGAGUCGCCGCUCGGAAGUCUUGCGUGCGCCGCUCGGAAGCUCACAUACCAAUCGGAGCUAACAAAUUAAAACAGCCAGAUGAGCUCGCCUCGCCUUCUCGCCGCCAUGGCUGCUCACCUACCACGCCUCCCCUUCCUCCUCUUCGUCUUCCUUGCCGUCCAUGUCCCCGCCUCCCAUGGCGACCCUCUUCCAACCACAUACGACGGCUCCAUGUGCUUGGAGUCGUCGUUCUGGUGCGGCAGCGUCGAAAUCCGCUACCCGUUCUAUCUUGCCAAUGCAACCAAAGCAACCUCCGAUUACAGCGGAAACUACUCUUGCGGCUACACCGAUCUGGAGAUCUCCUGCCUGGGCGAGGGGCCGAGCGCGAGCCCGGUCAUCCGUCUCGGCGGCGAAACCUAUACCGUUCAGGACAUCUCCUACGACAGCGACAACUACAAGGUUACUCUGGUGGACAGAGACGUGCUCGUCGGUGGCAGCUGCCCUGCAGUCCGCCACGGCGUCACCUUCGACGGGAUGUGGUUGCAUAACACCAGCUCCAACGACGACCUCACCUUCUACUUCGGCUGCUACUCAGGCGAGCCCCGCAUGCCGGCUGGAUUGCACAAAUACCAAAUCGACUGCAAUUUCGAGAGUCCGGUUCCUGGCGGCGGAGUUGCGUUUGUAUUGACACCUGAUGAUCAUGACAAAGCCCAAGAGCACGACCUGGCUGCAGACUGCCAUAAGGUUGUCUCCGUGCUAGUAAAGAAUGAGGUUCUGGAGGUGGCAAGAACCUGGACCAACUUCACAAGUGGCGCAUACGGGUACGUGCUGAAGCAGGGAUUCGAGUUGGGCUGGAGCCCGAUAGAGACGGGUCCCUGUCCCCAGUGCGAGGAGUCCGGCGGGAAGUGCGCCUACAGGCAGAACAAGACAUUCCUGGGUUGCUUGUGCUCCGACGGGAAGGUGGGCUACCCGGACGGGACGGACUGCAGCGGUGCCAGCACCGCGCCUGCGCCUGCGCAUGCAUCAAGUAAGUCUUUGAGACCUGAUCCUUCGAUUGCACAUUCGGCAGUUUCUUGUGACCCUCGUUAAUUCGCGUCUCGUUGUGUCCCGCUGAUUGCCUCGUGCUAAUGGUGAAAGUUAUGGCCUGGCCUGGUCUGAAAUUAGUUGGGUCUGCCUGGGAAAUUAGUGCCUGGGUAGGUAGAAAAUAGAAGCUCUGGUUCCCGUUCUAAUCAAAUGACAAGGACGGUUAUAGCCGUAUUUGCUUUGAUAUACUCUUUCACCAAAUCCGUGCUUUUUCGCGAACGAUUCAGGCGGUCUGCCGUGCUCCACAACCGUAUUACCCUUGUUUCAGUGUAGAACAUACCAGUCCACACUCCACAGACCAGGAGCUUAGAACUGGCUUUGGCAGGCAAGUGGCAGAAUGUUCAGUGGCGCACUUGGUUAAUUAGAUGAGUGGACUUUUUUUGGACUGGACAUGGUUAUAAGCAGCACUACACCGUCCAGAACAUCUUCUACAACACCAGAACCAUCAUCCUGGCCGACAGCGACGUGAUGAUCGGCGGCGGCUGCCCCAGCGUCCGCCACAACGUCAGCUUCGGCCGGGAGUGGCUGCGGCUGCACGACACCUGCUCGCACGACCACAACCUCACCUUCUUCUUCGGCUGCUACCGUCGCGACCCCGUGCCGCCCGGACUUGCCGCGUACAGAGUCAACUGCUCGGGGUUCCAGAGCCCGCCCGGAGCCGGCGGCGGAGUCUCCUUCGUGUUCGCGUCGUCUCGAGAGGUCAUUGACACAUCCCACGAGUACGAGCUGGCCGCUGCGCAAUGCGGCGAGGUCGUCACCGUGCCAGUGCGCAGCGAGAGUCUGGUGGGGAGUGACCAGGCCAUGUUGGCAAGCGGCGGAUACGGCGACGUGCUUAGGAAGGGGUUCGAGCUGGCCUGGAGCCGGAGGACGACGGAUCUGUGCUACCUGUGGGAGCGGCGGGACUCCGGCGGGCACUGCGCCUACGGCCAGAGCAAGGAAUUCCUUGGCUGCUGGUGCUAAGACGGGAAGGUGAUCUAUCGGAGCUGCAGAGGCAAUGGUGCCAUCGAGUAAGUCGUUCCCAACUGAUCCUUCGACGAUUUCACUCGCUCAAUUCUGGGGUCUCCAGUGACACCAGACCACGGGUUAGCUUCCUUGUGCCCCGUGUGUUCCGUGUGCACGACAGCGCGUUCCCCUCUGCUCUGCUGCUGUUUGACUUGACCUGGUCCGGAGUAGUUGGUUUGCCUGAAAAAUAUACGUGGGUAGCAGGGUAGGUAGAAAAACGUAGGAAUUCUGAUUCCUAUUUCCGUUCCUCAUUCGACAAAGGAUUACACCCUUUUUCAUGAACGAGAUUCAUCAGACGGCCCGGCGGCCUGCUGUGCUCCACAGCGUCUUGUAGAGCAGAGAACCAAACUGUCCUUGCUUUCAGUCUGAACUCCGAAACAAUAGUCAGGUUUACUACCUACUACGACUAUUGAAAGUGUGAAACACAGCCUGCACAUACCUGGUUUGCAUCGCUGAAUUGAGAGGUUAGCUAGCAACUGACCAGAACCUUUUUUUUUCCCUAACACUCUAGAACACGUGUGAUACUUGAGUUGCUGCAGGCUCUUCAUUGGAGCGACAGCACACUGGCCGUGGGAGCAGAGACCGCCAUGCGAGUACCCCAAACGCUAUGUUUGGUCCAAAUUCAAGACGUGUUGCUGAAGUCGGAGAAAAGCCUAGUUUUGUGUUCACUGGACCAACUUCACAAGUGGCGGAUACGGGGACGUGCUGAAGCAGGUGUUCAAGUUGAGCUGGAGCCGUAUCGCGACGGAUCAGGCUCCCCUGUGCGAGGGUUGCUUGUGCUCCAACCGCAAGGCGGGUACCCGGACUGCAGACCAAGUAAGUCUCCAACACUGAACUAGGGGUGGCUAUCGAGCCAGCUCGGCUCGGCUCGGCUCGCUCUGGCUCGUUAGGAUAAGGAGCUGGCUCGGCUCGGCUCGUUAUCUUAGGGCAUGUUUUCUUCCACCUUGCUAAACUUUAGUUGCUAAAAGUUGCUAAACUUUAGUUGCUAAACUUUAACAAAGCUGUUUGGAUACUCUUGCUAAAAGGCAUUUAAUGAGCUGUAAAAGGACCUAUCUACCCUUAUUAAAGGUGCGCAGGAGGGGGGAGACAAGCAAUAAAUGAGGGGUAUAUGUUGUCCAGCCCACCUUUUAGCAAGUUUUAGCAACCAAAAACUUGCUAAAGUGCUAAACUUUAGCAACUCAACUUUAGCAAGUUUUAGCAAGAGUGUUUUGCAGUUUAGCAGCUCAAAGUUGCUAAACUUUAGCAUCUAAAGUUUAGCAAGGUGGAAGAAAAUAGACCCUUAACGAGCUAGAAGUCCUGCUCGGAUCGGCUCGUUUGCCAGCUCGAGCUGGCUCGUUUAGCUCGUGAGCUAGCUCGUUAACGCUGUGUCCAGGGUCGCGAUGGCCGUCGCUGCCGGCGCCAUGUAGCCCCGGAGCCCUGCCCGCAUAGACGCAAAAGCUUGCUCAGCACAAGAUUUGGUCGCUGACUUGCUACAGAUGAGAAGAAUCAACUCAAAUUGCUAGCAAGUUCCCGCUGACUGAUUGGUUACCUUGUAGUGGCUGAAAUCGAACUAGAGCUGUUCUUUCAAAAAAAAAAGAACUAGAGCUGCGGUAUGCUUGGCCUCCGGGAGCAGCGUGCUCCCUUGCCACCUCCUACUCUGCAGGUCCGCACUUGAAGGCGGAGCAGAUGGCCACGAUGGCUUCCGCCGCCAGCAGGAAUCAGAAGCAGCAGCAGCGCCGCACCCACCUGCCUCUCCGGCUUUUGCCGCCCGACCCGUCGUUCCUGCAGGCUGUAGUGGUCGUCCCCAGCAAGCGCAUGGCAGAUUGCAGCAAUGCCUGCUUGUUCGAAGCUGCAGUGGCGUCGGGCGGCGGUGUCGAGCGGCAGGUUGGCGACGCGUGUGGACGCGACGGCGGACCGGCAGGUCCGCAGGUGAGCGAGACACGAGAGGCAAGUGCUAGCGGCUGGGCAUGCACGAGAGUGGAUAAGGUUGAUUGGAGCUUUGGAGGAGCGCUGGAGUCUUGAGGGUGUUUAGUUUGUUACUUGGGCUGUUGCUGGGCUUAUAACUUUCGCGGGCUGCUUAGCAAUUAGCACUGGCCUGCUUCCUCGAAUGCUUCUGGCCUGCCACUGAACGGCUCGUUUGGCUCGUGAGCCAACUCGAGCUGGCUCGUUGUCGUAACGAGCUGAAAUGCUAGCUUGGCUCGUUGAGAGAAAUUUUAGUCAUAGCUUAAAAUAGCAAUCCAUAUAGUCAUCUACUGGAGCUAGUUUUUUUUUUGUUUUUAGGUAUUCUGGUAGUUUUUAGUAUAGCAAACCAGUUCAGGUCAUUUACUGUAGAUGAUCUGACAUCAUUUUGAUAGGCAAGUACAUGUCUAUAGUAAGCAUCUAUUGAAUCUGGAUUUCCAUCUUAAGGUUCCCUUUGUUUGUGCUUUUCAAAGUGUUUUCGGCUUAAAAAAAAUAAAAGCCAACCAAAUAGGUAACCCCAUACAAUUGAUUUCAAGAAAAGCAGCUUUCCCUCUGUAUAAAUCUCAUAGCACCUCCUCCCUUACUUUUUCUAAUUAUGAGGGAUAACUUUUUCACAAAAUUACCUACCUGUCAUCGGUUAUGAGCAUGCCCCUUCAAUUUUCUUUUCUAUCAUGUCAUCUCCUCCCUCGUGGUUCCCUCUCGCUCGCUUGUUUUCCUCCAACGGCGAACGCUUGGGUCAUGAACUCUUCGGCUGAAGCGUCCCCACAUAAGUAGAGACUAAAUGUGAUACAAAUAUCAGUCCCAGGAGGCUGAUAACACAUUUAUUCGACAGAUAAUUCAGUUACCGUACAACUCCCGAGGGAGUGGGUGUGAAAGCCACGCAGCGAUAAACAGUAAAUAAAUAACGGCGGCUAACCAAGCGACUGCCAAAAGACAGCACUCGGGACUACACGGCAGCGGCAGCAUCUUGGGCAGGACAACACCACAGGCAGCGUCGGGUGCGGACACAACCUCUACUCGAGGUCCUCUGCGACGAAAUUGGGGUCUUCCUCUGUAGCAAUGAAGCAAGGGUGAGUACUAUCGUACUCAACAAGUCCAACCCCAUCCACGGAGGGGAUACAAGCAAGUUUAUGCACAAGUACAACAAGGAUAGGCUAGAGUUUAUUUGCGGAAAAGCUAAAAUUUUACACAUGCAGGGGGUUGUUUUGAAAGGGUUUUUGUAAAACUUUCCUCUAAUACCCAGGACAUUGAGUGGGGUUGAUCCUACCCAAAGGAUCCAAGUUUUUAUCGCUAUCGGACUCCCCGUCCGCCAUAGCGCAUGGCACAACUACCGGACUCUUCUGAAAUUCCACACACACACACACACACAUGACAUUCUUGCCCAAUUGCUAGUUAUGUGACCAAGCCGUAACUCGUCCAAUGCCGUGGACACGGCUACCCGGAUAGGUUUUAACUCUGCAGAGGGUGUACACUUUUCCCACAAGUAGGGUACCGUAGCACGACCACCUUGGUGACGGUACGGAUCCUAUCAAAGCCAUUACCCACCUUAGCUAAGACUGGCUAGUUCUCGCGGAAACACCCAAGGGGUUCACGGCUCGUCCAUGAGACCGUAACCGGGACCUAAGUCUCCAAGAUCUUACUCCUUUUCCAUGGGUUCCCGUUGCUCACCAGCACCCCUGAGGACUAACAGUCCCGCUAGUGGGAUUUAUGCUAAGUCGUUGCCCAUACAACGGUCGAGUGGUUGCACGAUAGGGGAAUUAGGCAAGAUGACACAUCAACUCGGUCCUUAAUUACGACAGGAUGGAUAUCUCCCGACAUUGCUCAACCACCAAGGUACGAGCACAACGACAUGGCAUGCCACACAAGGAACACCCAUCCAUCCCGUCUACACAUCCUCUUUCCCCGAACCCAAAAGCCAUUUCUCUCACUUGGACACACACACACAUUUAUUUUUCCGAAUACACCAUUGUAAUAAUGAUUGCAUUUGAGUAACAAAUUCCUAAGCGUUCUAGCAGUGGUUAUCAUCUAAACAGAGCGAGUCAUAUUUAGAGAUAAGCGUAGGACAACAAGGAAUGUUCAUAACAAUCAAGGGGUGGCUAUCCAACCAUGUCUUGCGAUAAAAUAAUAUGCAUUUUGUAAAACAGGCCAAUAGGUUGUGUUUGAAAAACUAGGUAUUAAGUAUGCAUCAAAGGGUGAGAUUGGACUUGCCGUCUUCAAAGCCUUCCGGGAGUUCCGGUUCGCGGUACUGGUCCUCGGGCUCGGGCUCGCGAUCAAGCUCCUCCUCGGGCUCCUCCUCGGGCAAUCCGCUAUCUACGGCACACACAAACAGACACACAAAUAAAUAAAAAGGAAACGGUUUUUAACCAUGAGCUCCGAACAGGAAACGCGAACGAAAAAUAGGUAGGAAGAUUAUUUCUGGGAAAUUUGGGUAUGGAUCAGCGAAAGUAUCCCAGAGGAUGAGGUGGUGAAAUUUAGGAUUAAUUGGAGUGAGUUUGGCGCAUGAAAUGACGGGUUAAACACGGAUUAGGGGCUUAAACGGAGGUUUAAGGCUGAUUUAUAAUAAAUCAGGGACCUGAUUGCAAUUAUUUUUGGAGGUGGAGGCGCCUAUGUGUAAUUUGGGGAAACUUGGGGGUUAGAUCGGAAUUCUUAGAGUUUUGGCUCCUUCUUCUUCCAGGAACCAGAGGAAGAGAGAGGGAGGGAAGUGGCCGGCGGCGGCCGGCUGGCGGGGCUGCACCGGCGGCGGCCGAGGGCCGGGGCGGCGGAGGAUGGGGUGGAGGCCCCAUUUUGCCUCACCUCGGGCGGCGUCGUCGAAGGAGGGGGCAGGGCACCGGCGCCCGUGCGGGAGGUGGCGGCGGCAAGGAUGCGGCGGCGGUUGUGCAGGGAGGCGGCGGCGGAUGAUGCGGAGGUUGUGGUGGUCGUGGUCGGGGCGUUCGCCCCCUUUUUAUAGGCCGGCGAGGGCGGGUCCAAGGCGUGCGGGAGGUGGGGGUCCGGGCGGCGGCCGGCGAUGGCCGGCACGGCACCGGUGCCGUGCCGAGCGAGAGAGGGGGGUGUAGGGGCCGGCAGCGGGGGUGUGGCGCGGGGCCGAAGGAGGCCGGCGCGGAAGGGAUGGCGCGCGGGGCCGGGGUGGCCGGACGCUGGAGCGGCGGCGCAGGCGACCCGGGGCCGGGUCGGGCGCACGGCCCGAGGGGGCGGCGUGGGGCGCUGGCCAGGCGGCGGGCCCCUGGCGUGCGAGGCCGGGCGGCGUGCCCCUGGCGCGCGAGGCCGUAUGGAGUGGCGCCAGUAGCGCCGGGGAGUUAAGGAGCUGGGGCCGGACGGGUGGCGCUAGGAAGAAGGAAGAGAAGGAGAGAGGAGAAGGAAGAAGGAAGAAAGAAGAAAAAGGAAGAAGGAGAAAGGAAAAAGAAAAGGAAAAAGGGGAGGGGAAAAGAGAAAGAAAAAGAGAGGGACCGGCGGCGAUCGCGGCACGCGGUCGGAGCACGCGCACGGCGGUCUGACGACGGCGCGCGGCGAGAUUCACGGGCACAGAUAAAAAGAUAGGUGGGGGUCGGCAUGGGUACCGGGACGGCGAAAUCACCGGGGAGGUUUCCGAUUUCCGGGAGCUCAGCGGUAAAAAGAUUUUAAAGAGAGUUUUUAACGGGGGAAUUUAGUUAGUGAUUUCUGCGGGCGUCACAUCGGCCUCCCUCCGCCCUCCUCCUCCCAGGCGCCAGCACCCCUGUCCGCCCCACGCCAGCACCCGCCUCCAUCUACCAUCCUCCACCUAGGUGCACAAGUAGUAGGUGCGCCCGGCCUCCUCCUCCUCGGCGGACGGUGCCAAUCUGGAUCUCGGGCUUGCCGGCGGAGUCCUCCCCUCUGACAACUCCAACACCGGCAACUCCAACUCGAGUCUUUCGGCUGGCUUGCUCCCGAGCGGCGGGUCCUCGAGCCCCCGGCGGUCGGCGCGGGCGCGGUCCCUGUCCCGGCAACGCGACCUCCUCGUCGAGCCCCCUCCCCUAACUGCGGCCGCAACCGCAGCAAUGGCGCUGCCGGCGAGGCCGACGUUGUCCCCGUCAUCUGUGCGCUGGCUCCUGCGCGGCCAAGGUUUGUCUCUUUGAGUCCAGAGGAAGAAUAAGGUGCUCAUCGUGGUCCGUUCGUCAGUGAGAAAGGGAAGGGUUGAGUAGGGUGAAGUAUGAAUGACACGUGGAGUUUCACUCACAAGUGUUUCCUAAAAGUCACUUUUCCACAGCUCACAGCUAAUUUUUUCAAAAGUUACAGUUUAACCAAACACACCCUAAGAGUCUGCCACGCCACAAAGCACCUUUCUCAGCGAAAUCGUUCCUAAUGAACCAAAAAAACUGUUUUUUAGCAAAGUCGGAGCCUUUUAAGAGCAAUUACAAUCAGCGUCCAGGCAACGACAUGCAGCCGGUGGCACAUUGUUCUGCCACUUCUCCACCGGACUGAGACGCGUAACCAGAUGGGCACACUCGUGCGCUACAUUAUUACAUAAACGACUCACAAAGGAGAAUUUAAAAUCUAAGAGGCUCCGACUAAGAGAUUCAAUCUGUUGCACCAAGGCGAGAUCCGCGACCGCUGCUCUUUGCGUUGCUCCCAUAGUUUCACCAGCUUCUGGCAAUCUGUCUCCAGGUGGACAAACUGGGUUUGAAAGUCUACUGCCAGCUUGAGGCCAUCAUAUGCCGCCAUCGCCUCAGCCACCAGGCCAUCCAGGCAGGAGUCUAUCCAUCUCGCGCGAGCGCCCAAGCAUCUCCCGUCGUGAUCACGGAGCACCCCACCCGAGGCACCAGUGUGGGUAUCUUCCUGGAACGCUGCAUCAGUGUUGCACUUUAUCUACCCCAGCUCCGGCUUCUUCUUCCUCCAUUUCAGCUGGUCUAACCGGCUUCUUCACCUUGCCCGCUUUGACCAUCUGCCAUAGAUCGAAAGCUUUAUCCCUGAACCAAAAUACUGUUUUGAAGUAAACUUAAGUAAAAUUUGCCCACCAGUCGCAACUCGCACCUUUAUCAGGACUAGCGGGUUUCCUUGGUGGAUUUUUGAGUUAGCAAGAAAUGUGUUACAUAGAAGUACUACAGUAUUUGGAAAUGGCAAAUUUUCUCGUGAAAUUAUAUGAAAUAUCUGUCACAACUCACAAGCAAUUCUUUUGCGCCCGUCAAUUAACCAACUUGGAUCAUGUGAGUCCUAAGAGGACAAAUACAGAGCCGAUGACUACAGGCGACUAGCAUGUGUUCCUGGUAGUGACUGGCAAUGCCAAUGGAUUCCAUGUAUCUAUGUACAUGUUCAAUAUUGGUGUCAAACUGUCAAUUGCCAAAUCUUUCUAGAGAAGGCUUGAAACUAGUGCCUAUUUUCGUUCACCUGCCUUUUUCAUGAAGCCAUGUAAUCUGUUUUUGGGUGUACGGUAGAAUAUUGUUAGCUUUGUAAGAUGCUUAUAUAUGCAAUUUAUGUGCACUUAUGUGUUUCUUUGCGUGUGUAAUUUGCAGGGCAUGGUAAUAAGAAAACUACAAUCGGUAAGGAACCUCAAUCUUGGGUUCACUCAGUGUUUUUCUUUUGUAUAUUCGUAUACUAAUCUGUUACAAAGCCUGCUUUACAUGUGCCUAUAUAAUCUGCACCCAGUUCAUUUAGCAUAAAAGAGCAGAAAACAAAGGCAUGGCACGCCAUGUUUUAAAAUCCAUGAUUCUCACAAAUAUAUUAUUUUGGAAUCCACUGACGGUGACAACAAUGCCGAAAAAUUAUAUCGUCCCUUUGGAAAAUAAACUUUCGAGUUUCCCUACUGACCGGCAAUAUAUGCAUUAUGCUUUGCAAAAUGGAUUUUUAGAACGCUUCGCAAAAUGACUGAACAUUGGAGAAGAAUUUUUAUCCUUCCUCUGGGAAAUAAACCUAUGUGUUUCCCUACUGACUUUGCAAAAUGAAUUCCUAGAGCACUUCACAAAAUGGAUUCACUUGUGAUGCCUUGUUGUGAUGCAGAUAUUGUUGCAAGCAUAUCGAGCCUUCUAUUUCUGAGUCUACUUAUUCUCGCGUUCUUCUUGACCUGCAAAUAUGGUUCGCUGCCCUUUAAAUCAAAGAACAAACCAAGGAUUGAAUCCUUUUUACAAAAGAAUGGGA
rnacentral:lncRNA from 1 species